CAAUGGCCGCAAAAAGACCUUUCUUCAUUUCCCCUGUGUGGCAACACAAAGCUGACAUUUUAAAGAUUAACACAUUUUUGGAAAAACUCAAUUUUACGGUGCCAGUUUCCUCAGAACACCUGAUUCACACCUCUGUCAAAAGUUUCAUUGGGAGGGCGAACUUUGACGUGGCGAUCUGAAGCACUUCUGUGAAUUGAAUCUUAACACCUGUCUUUACAACAUGACUUUGUUUUCUACUUUUUGAUUAAAAACAGUAUAUCUACACUCA